rnacentral:rRNA from 2 species
GAUUUUAGGUGCUUGCACUUGAAAGAUUUAACAUUGAGACGAGUGGCGAACUGGUGAGUAACACGUGGGUAACCUGCCCUUGAAGUAGGGGAUAACACUUGGAAACAGGUGCUAAUACCGUAUAACAACCAAAACCACCUGGUUUUGGUUUAAAAGACGGCUUCGGCUGUCACUUUAGGAUGGACCCGCGGCGUAUUAGCUUGUUGGUAAGGUAACGGCCUACCAAGGCGAUGAUACGUAGCCGACCUGAGAGGGUAAUCGGCCACAUUGGGACUGAGACACGGCCCAAACUCCUACGGGAGGCAGCAGUAGGGAAUCUUCCACAAUGGACGAAAGUCUGAUGGAGCAACGCCGCGUGAGUGAUGAAGGGUUUCGGCUCGUAAAACUCUGUUGUUGGAGAAGAACAGGUGUCAGAGUAACUGUUGACAUCUUGACGGUAUCCAACCAGAAAGCCACGGCUAACUACGUGCCAGCAGCCGCGGUAAUACGUAGGUGGCAAGCGUUGUCCGGAUUUAUUGGGCGUAAAGCGAGCGCAGGCGGUUUUUUAGGUCUGAUGUGAAAGCCUUCGGCUUAACCGGAGAAGUGCAUCGGAAACCGGGAGACUUGAGUGCAGAAGAGGACAGUGGAACUCCAUGUGUAGCGGUGAAAUGCGUAGAUAUAUGGAAGAACACCAGUGGCGAACGCGGCUGUCUGGUCUGUAACUGACGCUGAGGCUCGAAAGCAUGGGUAGCGAACAGGAUUAGAUACCCU